UGGGGAAUAUUGGACAAUGGGGGGAACCCUGAUCCAGCCAUGCCGCGUGUGUGAAGAAGGCCUUAUGGUUGUAAAGCACUUUAAGCGAGGAGGAGGCUACUGAGACUAAAUACUCUUGGAUAGUGGACGUUACUCGCAGAAUAAGCACCGGCUAACUCUGUGCCAGCAGCCGCGGUAAUACAGGAGGGUGCGAGCGUUAAUCGGAUUUACUGGGCGUAAAGCGUGCGUAAGCGGCUUUUUAAAGUCGGAUGUGAAAUCCCCGAGCUUAACUUUGGGAAAUUGCAUUCGAUACUGGGAAGCUAGAGUAUGGGAGAGGAUGGUAGAAUUCCAGGUGUAGCGGUGAAAUGGCGUAGAGAUCUGGAGGAAUACCGAUGGCGAAGGCAGCCAUCUGGCCUAAUACUGACGCUGAGGUACGAAAGCAUGGGGAGCAAAACAGGAUUAGAUACCCUGGUAGUCCAUGCCGUAAACGAUGUCUACUAGCCGUUGGGGCCUUUGGAGGC
rnacentral:rRNA from 1 species